AACGAACGCUGGCGGCAGGCUUAACACAUGCAAGUCGAACGGAUCCUUCGGGAUAGUUGGCAGAGGGGGGGUUAACGCGGGGGAAGGAACCCUUGCCUAGGGAAAACUUCAGGUAAAUUUGGGCUAAAACGGAAGGGCCCCUACGGGGAAAAGAUUUAUCGGCAAAGGAUCGGCCGGGGUUGGUUUACCUAGUGGGUGGGGUAUGGGCCUACCAAGGCGACGAUCCAUAGCUGGUCUGAGAGGAUGAUCAGCCACACUGGGACUGAGACACGGCCCAGACUCCUACGGGAGGCAGCAGUGGGGAAUAUUGGACAAUGGGCGCAAGCCUGAUCCAGCCAUGCCGCGUGAGUGAUGAAGGUCUUAGGAUUGUAAAGCUCUUUCACCGGUGAAGAUAAUGACGGUAGCCGGAGAAGAAGCCCCGGCUAACUUCGUG
rnacentral:rRNA from 1 species